rnacentral:tRNA from 1 species
GCUCCUUUAGUAUAAUGGAUAAUACACAAGUCUUCUAAACUUAGAAUAUAGGUUCGAUUCCUAUAAGGAGUA